GACGAACGCUGGCGGCGUGCUUAACACAUGCAAGUCGAACGGGCCUGUCUUCUUUUUUGGGGGGUGGGUUGAGUGGCGAACGGGUGAGUAUCACGUGAGUAACCUGCCCUUCGGUCCUGGAUAACCGCUUGAAAGGGCGGCUAAUACGGGGUGGUCCGGUUGGUCCGCAUGGGCUGGUCGGGAUAGAUUCACUGUUUUUGGUGUUUCGGCGGGGGAUGGGCUCGCGGCCUAUCAGCUUGUUGGUGGGGUGAUGGCCUACCAAGGCGGUGACGGGUAGCCGGCCUGAGGGGGUGGGCGGCCACACUGGGACUGAGAUACGGCCCAGACUCCUGCGGGAGGCGGCAGUGGGGGGUAUUGCACAAUGGGCGGAAGCCUGAUGCAGCGACGUCGCGUGAGGGAUGGAGGCCUUCGGGUUGUGAACCUCUGUUUCCGGUGGUGAAGGCCCUGUCCGUGUGGUGGGGUUGACGGUAGCCGGGGAUGAAGCGCCGGCUAACUACGUG
rnacentral:rRNA from 1 species